UAUGAUAGUGCAUGUAAUUUAAAAGUAUGAACCAAAUUAGGGUUAGUUGUAGGUUCUGUUGUCAUGUUUUUGUAAGUUAGCUGGAGCAGACUGGCAUCGACGAUUAAGCGCGCAAAUUUGAAUGAAAAGACGUUGGUUGUAGUGUUAAUUAUACCGUAUUAAGUUAACUGUGAGAUGUCUGAUUAGAUACACCGUCGAAACAUUUAACUUUAGCUUUACUUAAAGCUUAUCUUAGUUACUCUAACAGCGUUCUCUCUUUUACCACAGCAUUUUCUACAUUGACCGACGAUAAAUAAAGUUAUAAGGUGCUUCUUGGGCAUCAACCCAGAGACAGGCACAAAAUCUAAGAGGCAGAGAGGUCACAUGAACCAGCAAGUCUGCACUCUUAUCAGGAAGCUCAUUGACUUCGAAUGGAUGUCAAUCUAAUUGGAUAGAACCCACACUAUGCAGGUGCCAGCUGCGAGGGAAGGAGAGAGACACCUGCGACACCACCUUUUUGUCUUUUCUUACAUCUCUCUCCCUCACUCUCUCUUCUCUGUCUCCUUCUUUCUCUUUUGACACACAUUCCUGUUACCCAGUGUCAAUCCCUGUUGCCCAGUGUUUUAUUCAUGUAAUUAAAUUGUAUUUUACUUCUAAAAAAUAAAAGUUAUGUCACUGUU